AUCCAGAGUUGGUGUUUGUUGUAGCGCCUCAGCUUCAGCACAGAGCCUGGGCCUCCUCCCUCUGAGCUCCCUUAGGAAGGACCCGCUAACAUUCUCUCCCUCUUUACCAGGCCUCCUGCUUCCCAGCGGCCUCAAGUUCUGGCAACUUAUUCAUUAUUCAUCUCUUUUCAUCCUCGUGCUUGGGAGCAGGGCUUCCCUGCCCUGGGUUUAGUCCCAUCUCUGGGCCGCUUGAACAAUGGCAGCAGCCUCGGAGGUGAGCGGUGAGCACACAGGAGACAAAACCGGGCUGGAUGUCUAAAGCUGGUGCUAGAAUCCCCAAUGGUGCCCAGAGAGCUACUGGUCCUUGGUCAGCAAUGGAGGUCUGAAAAGACUGGUUCUGAUGUCAACAAAAGAAUGAACAGCAGCAGCAGCAGCAGCAACAGCAACAGCAACAGCAACAACAACAACAACAACAACAACAACAACAACAACAACAUAAUGUCUCAGCAAAAGGGAAGGCCAAAAAGGCAAAAUACAAUUGUCUUCUGCUAUGCCCUUAAAAUAAAAAUCUAGGCUGCUAUGGGGAGCUGUUACCUACGAUUGGGCGGGUCUUCCUGCAUCAGUUAAGACACAGUUCUUUAAUUGUGGCUCCUUACUCCAGUAAUUCCAAAUUGUGCCAAGUUGACAUCAAAAUCA
ensembl:processed_transcript Gm13631 predicted gene 13631